UACGAAGGGGGCUAGCGUUGUUCGGAAUUACUGGGCGUAAAGGGCGCGUAGGCGGAUAGUUCAGUUGGGGGUGAAAGCCCGGGGCUCAACCUCGGAACUGCCUUCAAUACUGGCUAUCUUGAGUACGGGAGAGGUGUGUGGAACUCCGAGUGUAGAGGUGAAAUUCGUAGAUAUUCGGAAGAACACCAGUGGCGAAGGCGACACACUGGCCCGUUACUGACGCUGAGGCGCGAAAGCGUGGGGAGCAAACAGG
rnacentral:rRNA from 1 species